rnacentral:misc_RNA from 1 species
AGCUGGAUCAUUUUCCGAUAAACAAAAACUAGUGUCUGACAAAGGGUCCCCGCCUUCCGGCCUUUUAUGAGGGGGAGGUAUCAUAUCGGGCGAGACCACCAACUUUACGUGGGUGCGCGUGUUUACUCACGAGCACCCGCGGGACUUUGCCUCUCCACGCAGUACCGGGUACCGAGAGUCGGCGCGUCCGGGGGUAACCCCCGCCGCCGCGCUCGCGGAGCGCCCCGCGUGGAGCACGGCUUCCACAACGUGUCGCGAUGGAUGACUUGGCUUCCCAUUUCGUUGAAGAACGCAGCAAAGUGCGAUAAGUGGUAUCAAUUGCAGAAUCACCCUAGUACCGAAUCUUUGAACGCAAAAGGCGCCCGAGAGAAGCUGUUCGCCAGCGAACCUCGUGCAUGCCGCAAUCUCAGUGUCGAACAAACAACAAAAACCAUACGAGAGUCUCGGACUUCGCGGGGCGCGUGAAAACGCGUACUGCGGCCGGGCGGUUGCGCGUGCUGUCGUGUAUUAGCGUAACAGCGAACCACAGCAGCACACAAAGACAACGCAACAAAACCUCGAUAACAAACAAAGCCUUCAACCACACACCUUAAACCGUGCGUGAUGAUCGCCUUCUUGAACAUUUCGUUCACAGACCUGAGUGCGGCAGGACUACCCGCCGAACUUAAGCAUAUUACUCAGCGGAGGAAAAGAAAACAACCGUGAUUCCCUCAGUCAGCGGCGAGCGAAGAGGGACCGAACUCGUUGCCGAAUCGGGCCUCAACGGCCUUGAGUUGUGGCAGACGGCGGUCGGUGGAUGGUGCGGGACUGGCGAAAUUCAAUGUGCAAAGCAAACCCUGCUGAACACAACCCUUCAUGUGAGUAUUGAGCCAUAGAAGGUGGUAGCCCAUUGAGCCAGGAACCCGAGCGCCUCAUUGGCUGUCCUCGAGCGAGUAGCACUGCUUGGGAAUGCAGUGUCAAGCGGCAGGUAUUUGUCUGCCAAGGUUAAACACAGAGUGGGAAGACCGAUAUCGAACAAGUAGCGUGAGCGAAAGUUUGAAAAGCACUUUGGAAAGAGAGUGACAUAGAACCUGAAGUCGUGACAAUGAUAAUGGAAGUACCUCCAUUUCACUGGCCAAAACCCGCCCGCGAGCAUUCUGUCCGGCGGGCCCCUCGGGGCCCGUCCGGGAAACAUCAAGUGCCGAACCGGGCUGGGUGAAAUGAGCGGAGAGAAAGUUGAGAGCACCACGCCUUCAAUGGCGUGGCGAGCCUCGUCUUCUCCGUGAUACUCGAUGUUGGCAAACUACCGAAAUGGGGUGCCUUCACCCGUCUUGAAACACGGACCAAGGAGUCAAACAGACGCGCAAGGGAGAGGAUAUUGUUGCCAGUACCUCUCUCGUACUGAAAGGGUUUCUUUUUUGGUGUGCACACAACACGAAUGCCCAACACCGGCCGGCCCCCCGUGGGUUGAGUUUGAGUGUGCCUGUUUGGACCCGAAAGGUGGUGAACUAUGCCUGAACAAGGUGAAGCCCGGGGAAACCCAGGUGGAGGCCUGUAGCGAUGCUGACGUGCAAAUCGCUCGCAUGAUUUGGGUAUCGGAGCGAAAGACUCAUCGAACCACCUAGUAGCUGGUUCACAU